UUAUUGUUUAUCUAUAAUCACAUAAAAAUUAAUUUUUAACUUUGUAAACGUUACAUUUGUACUAAAUUAUUUAUAAAAUAAUAAUCAACUAAACGUCUUCAUAUAAAACUUAAGAUCAUUAAUUACAUAGGGAUUGUAAGACAUUACGUAACUAUAAGCACACGUAUUAAAAUACCAUAGUGUACCGGUCGUGAUAAAUCUAUAUGUGAUUAUGUGAUGGACCGCGUACUUGUAUCCGUGUCAUCACAAAUCACGUACCAGUUAGCACUGCACUAAAGGUCUCUUAAUAAAUGGAAAAUCAAUUACUCCCUCCGUCCCAUAAUAUAUGACGUUUUAAAGUUGUGCACAAGAAUUAAGAAAAUGAUUGUAUAACAUUAAUUAUAAUAUUAAUUGUUUAUAAUACCCUUAAAUAACAAAGAUGAAAUAGUAUCACGUGUAAUUCUGUAAAUAAGCACACCUAGAGUGGGGGUGAAUAGGUGUAAAUACCCAAAAGUGAUCUACAGUGGUCAAUUUUUAAAGUUUACUACUGCAGGAUAUAAUCGGACGGUCUAACCAUGUCCGUAUUAGUUAUGUUCUUCGUCUGUUAUAAACGGACAGCUAAUAUUUGUCUGUUUUAGUAUAAAUUUUGGCGCCACGACUUUAAACCAAAAGCUGCAGAAUAUUAAAGCAUAAAACAGAAACAAAAGAACAGUAAAUCACGCCAAGAUUAUUACGUGGUUUAGCCCCUAGCCUAAUCCACGUCCAAUACUAAAUGGUAUUGGAGACUCACUUUAUAAAAAUAAUAUUCAACAAUUACAAAGGAAAUAAAACUCUCUGUUACAACAACGAUCGAUUGGACACCUCUGCCCCCUUUGCACUUCUGCAAUACCUCUCACCUCUGAGACUUUGAUAGCUUCGUUGAACAGACUGAAUAUUACUAAAAUAAAACCCACAAGCCAACCUAGACUUGUACUAUGUUUAUUAUAGAUAUUAAAAGAAGAAAUACAAGAACUACACUAUAAACUGGGACUUAAAAGAGUGAUGUAGUGACUUGUAUGUAUCUCAGAUUAGUUUUCUGAUGAGUUGCUGUUCUGCAGUCUUGUUCUUCCAAUAAGCUGAGCAAACAGUAUAUAUAAAGGAGAGAAGGACAACGGCUAGAAUAAAGCAACGGUUCAAUCCAAGCAACGACUAGUUCUUCUCAAUUGAAAUAGGAGAUAGGAGAUAUGUGUUAGCUAAAAAAUCUCAACCUUCUACAAAAUCUAACAGAUAAGAUACAAGAUAGAUAUAUAUAGAUAUAUAUAUAUAUAUAUAUAUAUAUAUAUAUAUAAAUAAACCCAGAAAUAACUCAGAAAUAUAUAACAAGAUACAAGAUAAAAUCUAACAGAUAAGAUAGAAGAUAUAUAUAUAUAUAUAUAUAUCUUCUAUCUUAUCUGUUAGAUUUUAUCUUGUAUCUUGUUAUAUAUUUCUGAGUUAUUUCUGGGUUUAUUUAUAUAUAUAUAUAUAUAUAUCUUCUAUCUUAUCUGUUAGAUUUUAUCUUGUAUCUUGUUAUAUAUUUCUGAGUUAUUUCUGGGUUUAUUUAUAUAUAUAUAUAUAUAUAUCUUCUAUCUUAUCUGUUAGAUUUUAUCUUGUAUCUUGUUAUAUAUUUCUGAGUUAUUUCUGGGUUUAUUUAUAUAUAUAUAUAUAUAUAUACCCUAUAACUCAGAAAUAUGAUAUAAUUAAGGAACUUAAAGGAAUAUAAUAGAUAAGAUAUAAAUUUCAGCUGCAAAAUCCUGUUACAAAUUCAACACCAGAUUUCAACCUCCUUAAAAUACUCCGCUUCAUAUUUGAAUUGGUCUUCAUAGCAAAACAGAUUUAGAUAUAAAUAUAAACAUAUAUUUUCAAGUAAAAUUAGAUUCCAAAAAAACUUAAGCACGUGACAAAUUAACCAACCUGUUAUGAGAACAACCCAUGCAAUCCAUUAUAUAAUUAACAUGCAUAAACAAAUUUGAUCAACAUGAUCCAAUUAAAUUAUAAGCCAAUAUAAAAUCAAUUAAGCCCAUAUAAAUAUUGUCAUCAUUAAAACCACAAAGUAUAUAUACUAACAUCACGGGCCAAACUUUUUUGGACAUUGUGUAGAUGGAAAAAAGGACCAUGCUCCAUAUCAUACAUAGAUAAGUACAAUGCAAAUAUUGUUUGUGUCGAGUUAGUAUACUAUCCUCUUGUGUAAGAACAUUCACGGAGCAGAUACAGAUGAGACAGAAGACGAAUAAAUCAAACCUGGCCCUAUUAAAUGGCGCUGUUAUGAGAAAGCUGGCACUCCUCAGCCUCCCCAAUGAUUCCACGGCUCGGUUAUGUUAGCAAUUAACAAGGCCGCGACGAAACAAAAUGACAGAAAAAUCUAAAGAAAUAAAACCAAAAAAAAAAUUGUGUAUCUUUAGAUACAAAUUAUUCUCAACCCAAAAAAACACACAUAAAAAGUUGAAGAUCCCUUUCAUAUAUACUUCUAUACAAGAAAACAUAAUACCCCUAAAAACUAUAAACCUUAUUGGUUCAUUUAUACUUGCCCCAUUCCUUUUAUAAACCUUAUUGCUUCAUACCACAUAGAAAUCCUCCAUUUCAGUGAGAAAUAUGGGAAUGGAGAAACAAAAACUGAUCAAGAAACCCCACAUUAUAGUAAUCUCUAUGCCCUUUCAAGGUCACAUUAAUCCUAUGCUGCAGUUCUCCAAACGUUUAGCAUCAAAAGGCCUUCGAGUCACACUAAUUGCCACCACCAACACCAUCAAACCCAUGGAAUCCCAAGCCUUGAACAACAUAAUCAACAUCGAGUACAUUUCCUACGAACACGACCAAGGCCAAAAGCCACAAAGUGUAGAUGAGUACAUAGAACAUAUCAAACGCAAGGUCUCAGAAAACUUGCCUACGAUCUUGGACAAGCAAAACAAAAAUGGUUACCCUGUGAACGUCCUAGUGCACGAUUCCCUUAUGCCAUGGGCUAUAGAUUUGGGACACGGACUUGGCCUAAAAGUAGCACAAUAUUUUACUCAAGCUUGUACUGUUUGUGCUAUAUACUAUCAUGUGUACCAUGGGAAAAUUAAGGCUCCUCUUAAGGAAUGUUCUGAUCUGAUAUCCUUGCCUUCAUUACCGG
rnacentral:lncRNA from 1 species